GGCAAACCGUUUGGGUCCUUCUCGGUACCCUGGUGGCUUUGUUGUUUUGCUCUUUGCAAUAGAUCUUGUUGCCGCUUGCUCUUUGGGGCCUCACUGCCUUUAUGAGCUAUAACACUCCCCGCAGAGGUCUGCAGCUUCAUUCUUGAAGCCAGCGAGACCACGAACCCACUGGGAGGAACCAACAACUCCAAACGCGCCACCUGUAAGAGCUGUAACACUCCCUGUGAAGGUCUGUGGCUUCACUCCUGAAGUCAGCGAGACCAGGAACCCACCGGAAGGAACUCCGGACACAAAGAACUGCAACACUCACCCGAGGGUCUGUGGCUUCAUUCUUGAAGUCAGUGAGAUUAAGAACCCACCGGAAGGAACCAGUUCCGGACGUGCCGAGUUCAAGCAAUUGUCCUGCCUCAGUCUCCGGAGUAACUGGGAUUACAGGUGCACGCUGCCAUGCCCAGCUAAUUUGUAUUUUAGUAGAGUCGAGGUUUCACCGCGUUGCCCAGGCUGGUCUCGAAUUCCUGAGCUUGGGCAACCCACUCACCUCGGCCUCCCAAAGUGCUAGGAUUACAGGCGUGAGCCACCAGGCCGGGCCCGUAUGGUGGUUUCUACUCCGGACUGACUCUCCCGGGUCUUGGUCACUCUGCAGAAUCCUGGACCGGAAGGGGGCCUCGGCCAGGGGAGGGCUUGCGAGGAGCCCCGGACCUACUGGCCAUUAUAGGGUGACGGGAAGUUCCUUGCAUCCCGGGAUCCCAUGGCACUUGGUCAGGGAAGCCUCCCCAGAGAGGCCCAACUCCCCAGAUCCAGGUGGGGAAUCAGGGUACCAGCCAGGCAGUGUUCCCACCCCAGCCAUGCUGCUGGCUUCCGUCCCUGUGGUGGGGUCACCCAGGUGGCUCAUGCCUCCACGCACAGCCUUGUGGACACCCCCACACCGCCCAUAGUCAAGUCAGAGCUCACGAGCCCACAGGGCAGAUACCCGCCACGAGGGGACGGUGGGCCAGGAGGGUCCUCUGUGGGCAGCGCCGUGUUCCUGAUCUCCCCAGGCUGCUGGGGGAUGGGGUGGGGCAGAGGAGGCCACCUUCCCAUUUCCCACUUUGCUGGGUCUCCCUCUUUGCUGGACAGUGCUGGGGCAGGUUACACACCCAUGACAGUGUGAGGACUGAGGGUGCGCGUCCUGGAGCCUUCAGGGCUUGGGUGGAGGGGGCAGCUUGUCCCCCUGAGGCCUGGGCCAGAGAUCCCAUUCUGAAUGCGGAGAGCCAAGAUUCUACCUGGAUCCUGGCCUUGUGGGUCACUGUGACGGCCCAGAGCUGACUUUAUGUGACAGUUUGUCCUGAGAUUUAAAACUGAAUAUUUAGACUCGUGGGAUCUGGGCAUCCACUUCAACCAAGGAUGGGGACAGGCAGCAGGGUGGAGGGUGGACGAUGCAGGAAGAUGCUGUAGGACCAAGAACAAGGGGGCUGUGAGGCAAAGGAGCAGCACGAGGAGCCGUGUGUGCCCACUGCCACUUGCAGCCUCAUUUCUCAACCCGACUGUGAUGACUGCCGCUUGCUGGAAAGAUGCUCUGAAGACACAAUGAACUGACAAUGCGUCACCCCGACUCCUGCCUGAGCCACUCCAUUCCUUAAAGACGGUACGUGACUCACGUCCUUGCUGUGUCCUGCACGAGAUAAGGUCUGGCAGGGUUGGUAAUUAUGCCUCUGGGAUCUGUAACCAGACAUUCUCUGUAACCAUUCUGUAUAAUCUGGACGUUCUCUGUAAUCCAGAUGUUCUGUGUAAACUGAAGUUCUCUGUAAUUGGACUUUCUCUAUAACCAGUUGUCCUCUGUAACCUUCUCUAUAAUCCAGAUGUUCUUUGCAACCAGA
rnacentral:lncRNA from 1 species